GACGAACGCUGGCGGCGUGCUUAACACAUGCAAGUCGAACGGAAAGGCCCUGCUUUUGUGGGGUGCUCGAGUGGCGAACGGGUGAGUAACACGUGAGUAACCUGCCCUUGACUUUGGGAUAACUUCAGGAAACUGGGGCUAAUACCGGAUAGGAGCUCCUGCUGCAUGGUGGGGGUUGGAAAGUUUCGGCGGUUGGGGAUGGACUCGCGGCUUAUCAGCUUGUUGGUGGGGUAGUGGCUUACCAAGGCUUUGACGGGUAGCCGGCCUGAGAGGGUGACCGGCCACAUUGGGCCUGAGAUACGGCCCAGACUCCUACGGGCGGCAGCAGUGGGGAAUAUUGCGCAAUGGGCGGACGCCUGAUGCAGCAACGCCGCGUGCGGGAUGACGGCCUUCGGGUUGUAAACCGCUUUCGCCUGUGACGAAGCGUGAGUGACGGUACUGGGUAAAGAAGCACCGGCUAACUACGU
rnacentral:rRNA from 1 species